UAAGAACAAAAUAUAAUGAGAAUAAUUUUAGUAAAUACAGGUUGGUGGCGCUACUUACAACUCCAUAAGGUCGUAAGGUAGCAGUCUCGUGUAUAUAUACUAAAGAAGAUAUUACAGUUAAAGAGCCCUGUC
rnacentral:ncRNA from 1 species